rnacentral:lncRNA from 1 species
UGGCAUUUGGACAUCUUUGUCCCCCUACACUUGAGUCAUGCUCUGUCCGUGCUCAGGGCUGCGCCUGUUUUCAGUGCAUUCACAUUUCUAUCACUUUGAGGUCUGGGCUCGGCCCAGCAGUGGGAUGGGUAGAUUGGGAGGCCCAGGAUCUGGACUGGAUCUGUCAGCUGGAGUGUGGCAGGCGCUUGAGGAAUGAGCAGCAGCAGGUAGCAGGACAGCACCUGGUCUGACUAAGAGAAGACAGUCUCCGGGAAGAGCAGAGCAAUGACUCAGGUUAUAGACAAGGUUACAGUGAGUCUUGAAGGACUAACAUGAUGUCGCAGGAUGCCCUGCGAGGCAGGCGGAGCCCUACUGUAAUAGAAAUCCAGGGAAUUAGCAUCAGAUAAGCAUCAGCUGGUUGCAGGGCACCAAUCACUAGACUGUGCCUCUUGGGCAGACUCUGGUCUUGGGGGUAGGACAGUACCAGCGGGAAGAAGGCAAAUGCCCAGGUUUGCGUGGAGAGGGAGCCAGGCAGACGUAAGCACAUCAGAGACCAAGUCAAACCUGUCAUCAGAACCAGCUCACAGGCUCCUGUAGCCUAGAAGAAAGAGUGGGUUGGGAGUAAUCCUGGAAUGUUGAUCUUCAAGGUCAAAUGCCCCUCUACAAGGUCAGGGGUUGGUCCUAAAGACCAAAGUUCCAGGUCACACAUGGCAAAAGCCCUAAACCCAGGGAAGUGGCUUCAAUCUGCGCUCUCCACGGUCAGGAAGAGGGCCUUCAUUCACGUGGCAAACAUCUUCUGAGCACUCAGAUGUGUCAGGCGCUGAGUCACAAUGGAGAAUAGUCCCCGCCCUCAAGGAGCCCUGAGAAACAAGCCUCCUUUGACCGACUGUUGGUGAGCAACCACUGAAGCAGGAUUCUUUACAGCACCUCUGGCGCAAUCCUCACAGACUGGAGACCAGCCUCCACGCAGGACCUGCCGACACACUUCGUUACGCUCUGCACAGCAAAGCACAUACGCAGUAAAGUGCGCAAGUCUUGAGGAAACAUCUUGAUGGCUUUAUAAACCCAUCAACACAGUGUUUUAAAAGCUGAGGUCAUAGUCACAGGGAGAGGUGACUACAGAAGAACCGUUAGAGAGAUGCCACAGUGUUGGCUAUAAAGAUGGAGGGAGGGCCGCGAGCCCCGGAAGUCUAGCAGCCUCUAGGAGCUGGAGAAGGUGAGGAAGCAGAUCCUGCCCCAGAGACUCCGCAAUGGCCCCAGCCCUGCUGAGACCCUGACUUCAGCCCAGUCGGACUUUUGUCAAACUGCUGACCUACUGUCAGUAAGCUCACAUACCAAGGAAGCUGGGAAAGAAGCUUGGAAAAAAUGAGAUGCAAAGUGAGGGUUGGCACAGAAUUUGAAUGAUGAUUAGCAGGGCGGACACCUCAUUCCAAAGCAUCCAGUUGCACAUAGCAUUUGCUCAGCAAUUUACCAAGAGGACAAAGGUGGCCUCCUCUGCUGCUUGUUGGUGAAAGUUUGCUAGACUUAUCUUUGAACGGUGACUGUCAGUUAUUAACUUUUCUCGUGAAAAAAGUCCCUGGAAUGUAAAAAUUUAUUCCGAGCAACAGCACACACCAAACCUCCCUCACCGCUGCCGGCUUUCCAUCUCAGAUUCUGAUGGUGUGGAGACGAAAGGCUGAGGGCUCUCCCGGAGCUCACCUUCCAUCUGCGAAAGCCACUGCCGGGACAAUUCUUUCCCCAGAGAGAAGGCAUCCUCUUGGGCACAGAAGCGAGAUUGUCUAACAGUGUCCCAGAGCUCUCCGUACCUCAGUUUCCCGAUCUGCGCCUGCCAUACAUGGUGGUCCUACUGCUGGUUUGAAAAGUAUGCUACAAAUAUGAAGAGAUAAUCAGCAAGGCUCCUUGGAUAAGGUUAUUAUAUUCAAGUCUUGCCAAAAAAUGUAAGAAAAAAAACUCCAAUUUGAUGGGAUCCAGAGGAACAAUUAUGCUUUCUAAAAAUAAGAUGAGCCGAAGCUAAGGAAAUGAAAACGUUUCUAAAGAAGAAGGUCAGGACUUCUUUUGUGGCCUCCUUUCAUCGCUGGGUUAUUCACUGUAAUAGUAGCCUGCCAUUUCAAACUAUGACUCAGGGGCCUGGUCAUGGGUUACAGAGCAUUUCAUCUGUGGUCACCCCACCUGCCCACGAGAAAUUGAUGGUUAGCGACUACGGAGCAGGUUACUCACUGAAUAUUAUUCUCCACCGUAACCUCCUGACCCUUGCCUCAUCGAAAAGAUUGGUGCUAUUCUGCUUUUACCUACAGAGAAAGAGCAAGGAGGAGAUAAAAUAGGACCUUGAUAUUCGGGGUUGUGGCUCAUUUCUGAAGGUCGGACAUGAAAAGCUGUUUCGAAUUUUGCCCCAUUCGUUCUUAAAACCGCAGCCCAGGAAUUUAUAAGCAUAGCUGCCCUUUAUCUCUCCCAAGAAUGAAAUUGCUUUCUCCAAUAGAGUUUAAAGGGAUGAAUUAAUUGGUGUUUUUGGCAGGAGUACUCUAUAAUUGCAAAGUACUCUGAGUAUCACCAUAUAGUUUUUUCCUUAGAUGGUCCAUUAGGAGGAACUAUGGCAUUCCCAAAGCUAUUCUUUAAUUAGGUCAGCAGCAUCUGCCAAGAAUCCGCUCUCCUCUCAGACCAGGUUUAAUCACAGUGACAAGUGACUUUCAAGUUUAUACCCACACACUCUUAGAUUUCUGAUUUGCCCUAGAAGAAGGUUCUGAUCACAGUGUUCUGAGCGCUGGCCCCUGGGCCUGACUUCCCUGUCUGUCUGGAUUUGGGAUUUUUGGCCUGCCCUUACCUUGUGACUUGCCCCCCUGGAUUGCUGACCCAUUCUUGACCUCUGACAACAGCACGCUCCUUAACAUCUGUUCUACCUGCAUAGAGCCUGGUCUUCCGCCCGAUUCUUAAUUCUGAUUAUUAGGCUCCUGGACCAGGCCAAUUCUCACAGCCUAAGGAGGAUGAAGAUGUCCUUAGACUAAAAUGGCCAAGACCAGAGCUCAUGAAUGACAAGGACAAACAACCCAAGGACUCAGUGAUCAUACAAAUGUCCAAAUGGGGGGCACAUGAAUUGCUGUAAGGCCUUAGAUUUCACAUAUUAUAUAUAUGAGGUUCAUAUAUUACAGUUAGUUACAGGACACUAAUGAGAGACAGACUUUUCAAACCUAGGUCACAGAACACUGAGCAUAGCCCUCAAAAUGCACCCUGGAUCACACAGCAAAAGAUACGCAGUCACGGAAUUGCUGCUGGGCCAAUGUGUCAAUCACGC